rnacentral:rRNA from 1 species
GACGAACGCUGGCGGCGUGCUUAACACAUGCAAGUCGAACGGAAAGGCCCUGCUUUUGUGGGGUUCUCGAGUGGCGAACGGGUGAGUAACACGUGAGUAACCUGCCCUUGACUUUGGGAUAACUUCAGGAAACUGGGGCUAAUACCGGAUAUGAUCUCCUGCUGCAUGGUGGGGGUUGGAAAGUUUCGGCGGUUGGGGAUGGACUCGCGGCUUAUCAGCUUGUUGGUGGGGUAGUGGCUUACCAAGGUUUUGACGGGUAGGCGGCCUGAGAGGGUGACCGGCCACAAUGGGACUGCGAUACGGCCCAGACUGCUACGUGAGGCAGCAGUGGGGAAUAUUGCACAAUGGGCGGAAGUCUGAUGCAGCGACGCCGCGUGCGGGAUGACGGCCUUCGGGUUGUAAACCGCUUUCUCCUGUGACGAAGCGUGAGUGACGGUAAUGGGUAAAGAAGCACCGGCUAACUACGUG